ACGCUCGACACCUACGGGGGGCAGCAGUAGGGAAUCUUCCACAAUGGACGCAAGUCUGAUGGAGCAACGCCGCGUGAGUGAAGAAGGUCUUCGGAUCGUAAAACUCUGUUGUUAGAGAAGAACACGAGUGAGAGUAACUGUUCAUUCGAUGACGGUAUCUAACCAGCAAGUCACGGCUAACUACGUGCCAGCAGCCGCGGUAAUCUGAGCGGGCUGGCAAGGC
rnacentral:rRNA from 1 species